UCUCCCGCUUCUCCUCCCUGAGCGGGUGCCUCGACACCUGUUGAGGCGUUUUCGCCCCCGGUUGUUUUCCCCUUUACCGGGGGCCUUUUAU
rnacentral:ncRNA from 1 species